rnacentral:tRNA from 1 species
UAGCCUAGCGGUUAAGGCUAUGGAUCGCCAAUCCGGAGACUGCGGGUUCGAUUCCCGU